CCUCCUUACUCUCCACCCCUUUCUUCAACGCCCAGUGACACCUUCUCCAUAACCACCCUCCAGCUAACGAGCUCCCUCACCAUCACAACAAAAUACACACACGCACGAACAGUAAGGAGGAACAGAGGUUCACGAACAGAGAAAUUGAAAACAGUACAUAAAAACAAUACUUCGCCUUCUCCAUGAUUUGAUUCUUAGUUUCAGAAACAUGGAGUUUAACUGAAGUUUGGAGCUGAGAUGUUAGAAACGGUUUGAGGUCAUCAUUCGGUUGCCGAUUCGAGAUUCACCAUUGGUUCUGUUGGUUUUCCGUUAUGAGUCGUUUGCUUUGAUUCUGGUCCUAUGUUCGGUGGUCUCAUAGCCGUCCCUGUUCGCUUCUCGAAUAUCAGAUCGAGCGUCACUAUUUCUGCGUCAGUUUAAUCAAAACAGAAGUGAAAUCUUGGCUUUACUUUGAGCAGGGAAAUCUGAUGAUGGUUACUAGGAGGCUCUGUAAGAUUGGCUUUUGAGUUUGGCAAUAAUAAUUAUAUUGUGAGGUUCUGAUUCAGUAAGCUUCAACUCUAUAUUUUGAAAUUAAAAAGAAAGAGUCCGUCCUUAGCUUGUAUUGUAAUACUAUAAUUUAAGUCUUGCAACUAUAAUAUGUCAAGUUAUAUGUAACACUAGAAGUUUAUAAGUUCGUAAAGUUAUUGUUGAAACAUGUUGGUGUCUUUAGGGUAUUAUGGUUUACAAUUUGUAAUUCCUGGUGUGUGUUUGCGAGCAGGCCUCAUAGUUUGUCAGUUUUCUUUU